CUUCUUAGAAUAGGAGGGUAUAGGUGUAGGGUCUUCUUACAAUAGGAAGGUAUCGGGGUAGGGUCUUCUUAGAAUAGAAGGAUAUAGGGGUAGGAUCUUCUUAGAAUAGGAGGGUAUAGGUGUAGGGUCUUCUUAGAAUAGGAGAGUAUAGAGGUAGGGUCUUCUUAGAAUAGGAGAAUAUAGGGGUAGGGUCUUCUUAGAAUAGGAGGGUAUAGGGGUAGGGUCUUCUUAGAAUAGGA